rnacentral:lncRNA from 1 species
UUGCAUGCUGUAGACUUUUAAUAAAUAUUUGUUUAAUGAACCAAUGAACAGGAGACAUUUACACUGGGGGUGUAAACAAACUUGAGUUGAGACACCCCCACGACACACUUUCUUUCUGCCCGGCAGUGCCCUCAUUGUCUCCCCUGGCACCACACCAUCGCAGCCCCGCUCAGUGGCCGGCCAGUGACAAAAGGGUGAUGUGGGGAUGCGGCCACCCAACGCAGCAUUAAUUCUCACCCUCCACGUCUGCGUCUUGUCAAGGUUUUCAGAUCGUCAUCGGAGGGGAAGUGUGAGGGACAGAGAAAGUUACGCAAAAAUGUUAGCUGCCGUGGAAACGGACGACAGAAUGUUAGCGCAAGUCAGUUGGCAAACAGAAGUGUCUCCACGAAUGCGGAGCCUAGGGCAGUGCCCGGCAGGUGGGAGCUGCUCACUACGUCUGGCAUCCCAACUCCACAGUUCAUCAGCUGCUACGGACACAGCUUGUCAGGAGGGACUCUCCCCUCCAGGACGUUCGGGACUCAGUCUCCAGUCAAAAAUUGUGACCAUUGCACCAAGGCUGCCAAGAGGGAGACCAAUUAGUACAAAGUAGGACCACUGCUUCUUCAGACGUGAAAUUGAAAGACCAGAGAAAGAAAUAGAUUACCUAGUACGUUUUGAGAUGUGAAGUUAACUUGGCCAUUUUAAAGAAUUUAGAAGGAUGUUUUUCCUGUCCGAAUGACCGGAAGCCAGCUUCUUCUAGAAGUUUUUGGAAGUCCCCUUGUACCCAUCGUAUUGUCGUGUUCAAUUAAAACAUAUUCAGAGGAACAUGAAAUGAUUAGUUAACUCAAACAUACUCUAUCGGUGCCUCCGUGAGGUCCUUUAAUGCUGAUGAAAACAUGCCUCGUGGGACAGACUCAGUCCCUGCUGUGUCUCUGACGGCAUGGGAUCGGAUCCAAUGACUUGAGAAAAGAAAUAUGGUGAUUUUCCUACAAACCCCGAGAGCUGGUUUGUGUUAGCUUUGUUGCAUUAAAAAAUAAAAUAAAAGGGGCUUCAAACA